rnacentral:rRNA from 1 species
GAGUUUGAUCUUGGCUCAGAUUGAACGCUGGCGGCAUGCCUUACACAUGCAAGUCGAACGGCAGCAUGAUCUAGCUUGCUAGAUUGAUGGCGAGUGGCGAACGGGUGAGUAAUACAUCGGAACGUGCCCUGUAGUGGGGGAUAACUAGUCGAAAGAUUAGCUAAUACCGCAUACGACCUGAGGGUGAAAGUGGGGGACCGCAAGGCCUCAUGCUAUAGGAGCGGCCGAUGUCUGAUUAGCUAGUUGGUGGGGUAAAGGGCUCACCAAGGCGACGAUCAGUAGCUGGUCUGAGAGGACGAUCAGCCACACUGGGACUGAGACACGGCCCAGACUCCUACGGGAGGCAGCAGUGGGGAAUUUUGGACAAUGGGCGAAAGCCUGAUCCAGCAAUGCCGCGUGUGUGAAGAAGGCCU